rnacentral:tRNA from 1 species
GACCGCGUGGCGCAAUGGAUAGCGCAUCUGACUUCUACAUCAGGGGGUUGUGGGUUCGAGUCCAUCGCGGUCG